GGCUGGUCCGAUUAUAGUGGGUUACCAGACUUAGUAACAUUAAUAUCACUAAAGUUAGUAUACAGCCCCCCACUGCUAAAUUAGACUGGCUGUAA
ensembl:Y_RNA Y_RNA Y RNA